CGAGAGUUAUUAUAAUUAUCAGAAAGACUUCUUUUAGAUUGCUCCACUAGUUUCCCCCCGCUCUACCAAUCUAGAAGAAGUUGCUCUAGUUCAUUUCAUGGUCCAAUCGAGCCUCUCAUUUAUAGAAGGAACCUGCAAAAAAUCCCUACAAGAAAUUAUACAAAAAUGAGGUAAAUUGCCACUCAUCAAUUAUAAAGCCGGACAAAAAAUCCAACCGAAGACUUACCGCAACCCGGCCAAGAGAGGACCCCAGCCAAGAGGAAUACCGUAGCGAUGCUUCCAAUCGGCCAAGCGAACGUAGCAGCCAAAGCCGCAGCAAUCACCGCAGGUCCGUUUCCCGACGUCCAAGCGAAAGUCGCAGCCGACAAGAUCACCGAAACCGCACCAGUCAUCAUCAAAACAGAUUGGAUCCUGACCUAUACCAGUGUAUGCUCUGUAUGAGGUUCCAUGCCAUACGUUUUUGUCCAAAAUUCCUCAGAAUGACCGUCAUCCGGAGGAUAGAAGUGGUCACGAGACACCGCUAUUGCGUGAACUGUUUGGCUAAAAGCCACGUAGUGCGGUCUUGCAUCUCUAUGGCAAGCUGCAGGAGAUGCCACAGGUUCCAUCACACGAUGUUACAUCCACCAAACAUUCGUGUCACCAUCGGCAGCCAAACCACACAACGACGACAUCCUCGGCCCAAGCCGCAAAGACAAACCCAACCCUCAACCAUUCAACGUCCUCAGCUGAACCAGGUCCAAACUAUCACACCACACACACCAACUACAAAACCUAUCAUUGAACAUCUACCACCCAAUCAACCAACUACUUCCGCCUGCGUAAAUCAACAAGUCAUUAUCGAGGCCAUUAAAUCAUUGGCCAACGUACUCUGCUCCACCAACAAGGGGCCAAACUGUUGCCUAAGGGCAAGGCCGCCGGCAUGUCCAAUCAUGGACACUAUUUUAUUAUUAUUAUUAUUUUCAUUAGUAUUAAAUAAAUUGUAUAUUGAAUUGGAUUUUUUGAAUUGUUAUUACUUUACGGUUAUUUGCAUUUUAAGAUAAAUUGAAUUAUAAUGAAUGAACUGUAUUAUCUUAACACUGUAAAGUAAUCUUGUAAUUAGUAUUCGGUACAAUUGAAUUGUCAUUUGUUCUAAAUAUUCGCUGAAUAGCCAUUUAUGUUCUAAACCUAAG